rnacentral:rRNA from 1 species
ACGCUCGACACCUACGGGAGGCAGCAGUUGGGAAUAUUGGACAAUGGAGGAAACUCUGAUCCAGUGACGCCGCGUGAAGGAAGAAGGUCUUCGGAUUGUAAACUUAUUUUGUCAGGGAAGAAAAAUGACUGUACCUGAAGAAAAAGCACCGGCUAACUACGUGCAGCAGCCGCGGUAAUCUGAGCGGGCUGGCAAGGC